ACUGAAUUAUUAAAGGGCCGCGGUAUCUCUGACCGUGCGAAGGUAGCAUAAUCAUUAGUCUUUUAAUUGAAGGCUCGUAUGAAUGGUCGAACGAGUGAUAAACUGUCUUAACAAAAAAUAUUGAAAUUAACUUUAAAGUGAAAAGGCUUUAAUAUCUUAGAAAGACGAUAAGACCCUAUAAAUCUUUACACCAUAUUUAGUAUUAAGUCAAUUUGUUUGUUCAAGAAAAAAUACUAGAAAAGUGUUUUGUUGGGGCAACAAAAAUAUAAAUAAAAUAACUGUUUUUACUAUAUACAAAAAUUUUUGAAAACAACUGAUCCUUUUUAAAGAUUAAAAGAUCAAGUUACUUUAGGGAUAACAGCGUUAUUUUCCUUGAGAGUCCUCAUCGAAAGGAAAGUUUGCGACCUCGAUGUUGAAUUAAAAUUUCUCCAUAGUGCAGCAGCUAUGAUAGAAAGUCUGUUCGACUUUUAAAAUUUUACAUGAUUUGAGUUCAGACCGGCGCAAGCCAGGUCGGUUUCUAUCUUCUAAGAAAUGAUAAACUACCCUAGUACGAAAGGAUUGGGUAGUUAAAAUAAUUUUAUUAACUUGAACAACAUUAUGCCUUAGCAAUCGCAC
rnacentral:rRNA from 1 species